rnacentral:rRNA from 1 species
UACGGGGGGAGCAAGCGUUGUUCGGAUUUACUGGGCGUAAAGGGCGCGUAGGCGGCCACCGCAAGUCGAUUGUGAAAUCUCCGGGCUUAACCCGGAAAGGUCAACCGAUACUGCGGGGCUAGAGUGCGGAAGGGGCAACUGGAAUUCUCGGUGUAGCGGUGAAAUGCGUAGAUAUCGAGAGGAACACCUGCGGCGAAGGCGGGUUGCUGGGCUGACACUGACGCUGAGGCGCGAAAGCUAGGGGAGCGAACGGG